ACGGGGACCCGCACAAGCGGUGGAGCAUUGUGGUUUAAUUCGACGCAACGCGAAGAACCUUACCUGGCCUUGACAUCCCGGGAAUUUCCUGGAAACAGGAGAGUGCUUUCAUUAGAGAGAACCUGGAGACAGGUGCUGCAUGGCUGUCGUCAGCUCGUGUCGUGAGAUGUUGGGUUAAGUCCCGCAACGAGCGCAACCCUUGCCUUUAGUUGCCAGCAGUUCGGCUGGGCACUCUAAAGGGACUGCCGGUGUCAAACCGGAGGAAGGUGGGGAUGACGUCAAGUCCUCAUGGCCUUUAUGGCCAGGGCUACACACGUACUACAAUGGCCGGUACAAAGGGCAGCGACAUUGCGAGAUGGAGCGAAUCCCGAAAAGCCGGUCUCAGUCCGGAUUGGAGUCUGCAACUCGACUCCAUGAAGUUGGAAUCGCUAGUAAUCGUGGAUCAGCAUGCCACGGUGAAUACGUUCCCGGGCCUU
rnacentral:rRNA from 1 species